UCGCUUUGGUGAUGGCAGAACUGACUUACCCGCAAGCUUAAUCGCAGCAAUAAGUGUCGCAUAUAAUAAUAGAAUAAGUCCAAAGCGCAGCCCGUCAUUACACACAACGCUUGUCCUUCCCAUUGUUGUGCGUUAUCCCCCAGCCGCCAUCGAAUCCCACGCAAUGUUCAAUAACAAACGGGCGGCGAAAUCGGCAGUAAUGAUAUGUAAUGAAGUGCAGCGAUCGUAGCGAUUGAUGACAGGUGGCAUCGCAAUGUAGGUCGCCCGGUGCCGCCCAUUUGGCAGUUUGAAAAUUCAGCAUAAAAAUGCGAUACCUUUGCACAGAGAUUUCAGUCUGUAAGCAGAAAUAAAUUGAGAGCAUUAAUAAAAUAACCAACUAAACAGAAUUAUUAAAGCGAACAAGAACAAAUCGGUUUCAAGUUCAAAUAGUUUUUUGCGCACACUUUUCGGUGAUACAAAACAACAGUGGCAAAAUGAGUCACUUGUGCUUCCUUGUUAUGGUUUUGAGUUUCGCACUCAUCGCGUUCUGUUCUGGACAAGGUAUCACAGAAAAUCCCUAUAACCGAAAUUGUCACAGAGACAUAUAUUGCCUAUUGGCUUAUUCUAAAUAAACAAACCGUACAGCCCUCAGCUAAGCGGACAGUGGAAAACAGCAUGGAGGCGUUGCACUCCCUAACUCAACUUAUAUUUAGCAUUCUGGAUGGUUUUAACAUGGGCUAGUUUUAGCACGAUAAAGUUGACAAUUCAAAACAUUUUGAACAUGUACUGCAUUCUGAAGUAAUCGUGAUUGAUGGAAGUUAUGAAUCUUAUACAUUUCCCAAUGUCGAAUCUAAUUUUCUUAGUUGUACAUAUUUUUUUUGGUUUUUUUUUCUUAGUUAAAACUCACUAAUUUGAUGUAAUAUGUUACAAUA